rnacentral:sRNA from 1 species
GCGGGAGCAGAAAAAGAAAAGCUAUUCAUACACACCCCGAGGGAUUCGGUUGUACAGGCAAAUGUGAGGUUCAGUGCAGUCCCGACUCUGCUUCCUUGUUGGAUCUGGUAGAAUCUUGUAUCCAUUUGAAGCCCUCAGCUAACUGUUCCAGUUCCUGCCUGUAAACCUCCAUGUUUGCCACCACGGUGAUAAUGGACUAAACGUAUGAAACUGUAAGCAAGCCCUCAAUUAAAUACUUUCUUUUAUAAGAGCUGCCUUGGUCAUAGUGUUUCUUCAUAGCAAUAGAAUAGUGACUAAGUCAUUCCUUCAAAGCCAUCAGCCUUCUGAGAUAGACUCUUAGAUAUCACAAUGUAACUGUAAUUUUCGCAUCUAUCCCAGGACCUACAGGCCUGUGAUGGUGGUGCCAUUUUCUAUUGGUUAAGAAUAUACCACAGACCCAGUCUCCAUACUCAAGGGGCAGGAAUUAUGUAAAGUUGGAAAAAGGAAGCAAGAAUCUCAGAUCUUUAGGUGUGUCAGCUAUAAGUCCUACAAAUGUGUGUAUCAUCUCUAAAAUUGUAAUUUCAUUUAUUGCUUUGUGACAGUCUUCAGUGAAAAAAAUCAGUAUCAUUCUCCAUCAGCAGAAGAUAAUUGAAGAAGCAUCCUGGGAAAAAUCACACAAACAGAAUAAAACCUAGAGUAAAAA